GGGCUGGUAGCUCAGUUGGGAGACUGCCACUAUACUGCACUGGAGGCCACAGGUUUAAUCCCUGUCUAAUCCA